rnacentral:rRNA from 1 species
CAAUAGCGUAUAUUUAAGUUGUUGCAGUUAAAAAGCUCGUAGUUGGAUUUCGGAUGGGACUUGCCGGUCCGUCGUUUCGAUGUGCACUGGCCAGUCCUAUCUUGUUGUCGGGGACUAGCUCCUGGGCUUCACUGUCCGGGACUAGGGGCUGACGAGGUUACUUUGAGUAAAUUAGAGUGUUCAAAGCAAGCCUACGCUCUGAAUACAUUAGCAUGGAAUAACACGAUAGGACUCUGGCUUAUCUUGUUGGUCUGUGAGACCAGAGUAAUGAUUAAGAGGGACAGUCGGGGGCAUUCGUAUUUCAUUGUCAGAGGUGAAAUUCUUGGAUUUAUGAAAGACGAACUUCUGCGAAAGCAUUUGUCAAGGAUGUUUNCAUUAA